rnacentral:rRNA from 1 species
CAGGCUUAACACAUGCAAGUCGAGGGGCAGCACAGGUAGCAAUACCGGGUGGCGACCGGCGCACGGGUGAGUAACGCGUAUGCAACUUGCCUAUCAGAGGGGGAUAACCCGGCGAAAGUCGGACUAAUACCGCAUGAAGCAGGGGCCCCGCAUGGGGAUAUUUGCUAAAGAUUCAUCGCUGAUAGAUAGGCAUGCGUUCCAUUAGGCAGUUGGCGGGGUAACGGCCCACCAAACCGACGAUGGAUAGGGGUUCUGAGAGGAAGGUCCCCCACAUUGGUACUGAGACACGGACCAAACUCCUACGGGAGGCAGCAGUGAGGAAUAUUGGUCAAUGGGCGCGAGCCUGAACCAGCCAAGUCGCGUGAGGGAUGAAGGUUCUAUGGAUCGUAAACCUCUUUUAUAAGGGAAUAAAGUGCGGGACGUGUCCCGUUUUGUAUGUACCUUAUGAAUAAGGAUCGGCUAACUCCGUGCCAGCAGCCGCGGUAAUACGGAGGAUCCGAGCGUUAUCCGGAUUUAUUGGGUUUAAAGGGUGCGUAGGCGGCCUUUUAAGUCAGCGGUGAAAGUCUGUGGCUCAACCAUAGAAUUGCCGUUGAAACUGGGGGGCUUGAGUAUGUUUGAGGCAGGCGGAAUGCGUGGUGUAGCGGUGAAAUGCAUAGAUAUCACGCAGAACCCCGAUUGCGAAGGCAGCCUGCCAAGCCAUUACUGACGCUGAUGCACGAAAGCGUGGGGAUCAAACAGGAUUAGAUACCCUGGUAGUCCACGCAGUAAACGAUGAUCACUAGCUGUUUGCGAUACACUGUAAGCGGCACAGCGAAAGCGUUAAGUGAUCCACCUGGGGAGUACGCCGGCAACGGUGAAACUCAAAGGAAUUGACGGGGGCCCGCACAAGCGGAGGAACAUGUGGUUUAAUUCGAUGAUACGCGAGGAACCUUACCCGGGUUUGAACGCAUUCGGACCGAGGUGGAAACACCUUUUCUAGCAAUAGCCGUUUGCGAGGUGCUGCAUGGUUGUCGUCAGCUCGUGCCGUGAGGUGUCGGCUUAAGUGCCAUAACGAGCGCAACCCUUGCCACUAGUUACUAACAGGUAAAGCUGAGGACUCUGGUGGGACUGCCAGCGUAAGCUGCGAGGAAGGCGGGGAUGACGUCAAAUCAGCACGGCCCUUACAUCCGGGGCGACACACGUGUUACAAUGGCGUGGACAAAGGGAAGCCACCUGGCGACAGGGAGCGAAUCCCCAAACCACGUCUCAGUUCGGAUCGGAGUCUGCAACCCGACUCCGUGAAGCUGGAUUCGCUAGUAAUCGCGCAUCAGCCAUGGCGCGGUGAAUACGUUCCCGGGCCUUGUACACACCGCCCGUCAAGCCAUGGGAGCCGGGGGUACCUGAAGUCCGUAACCGCGAGGAUCGGCCUAGGGUAAAACUGGUGACUGGGGC